AUCCAGCUGACGAGUCCCAAAUAAAACGAAAUGCGCAUCCUGGAU
rfam:Trichobilharzia regenti genome assembly, scaffold: TRE_scaffold0014708